rnacentral:tRNA from 3 species
GGAGGAUUAGCUCAGCUGGGAGAGCACCUGCCUUACAAGCAGGGGGUCGGCGGUUCGAUCCGUCAUCCUCCACCA